GACGAACGCUGCGGCGUGCUUAACACAUGCAAGUCGAACGAUGAAGCGGUGCUUGCACCGUGGAUUAGUGGCGAACGGGUGAGUAAUACGUGAGUGACCUACCUUUGACUCUGGGAUAAGCUGGGAAACUGGGUCUAAUACCGGAUACGACCAAUCUCUGCAUGGGGUGUUGGUGGAAAGCGUUAUGGAGUGGUUUUAGAUGGGCUCACGGCCUAUCAGCUUGUUGGUGAGGUAAUGGCUUACCAAGGCGACGACGGGUAGCCGGCCUGAGAGGGUGACCGGCCACACUGGGACUGAGACACGGCCCAGACUCCUACGGGAGGCAGCAGUGGGGAAUAUUGCACAAUGGGCGCAAGCCUGAUGCAGCGACGCCGCGUGAGGGAUGACGGCCUUCGGGUUGUAAACCUCUGUUAGCAUCGAAGAAGCGAAAGUACGGUA
rnacentral:rRNA from 1 species